rnacentral:rRNA from 1 species
AACGAACGCUGGCGGCAUGCCUAACACAUGCAAGUCGAACGAGACCUUCGGGUCUAGUGGCGCACGGGUGCGUAACGCGUGGGAAUCUACCCUUCGGUUCGGAAUAACUCAGGGAAACUUGAGCUAAUACCGGAUAAUGACGUAAGUCCAAAGAUUUAUCGCCGAAGGAUGAGCCCGCGUAAGAUUAGCUAGUUGGUGGGGUAAAGGCCUACCAAGGCUACGAUCUUUAGCUGGUCUGAGAGGAUGAUCAGCCACACUGGGACUGAGACACGGCCCAGACUCCUACGGGAGGCAGCAGUGGGGAAUAUUGGACAAUGGGCGAAAGCCUGAUCCAGCAAUGCCGCGUGAGUGAUGAAGGCCUUAGGGUUGUAAAGCUCUUUCGGUUGGGACGAAAAGGUUCGUGUUAACACCGCGAACUAAUGACGGUACCGACAGAAGAAG